AGUACGGUCGCAAGAUUAAAACUCAAAGGAAUUGACGGGGACCCGCACAAGCGGUGGAGCAUGUGGUUUAAUUCGAUGCAACGCGAAGAACCUUACCUGGUCUUGACAUCCUGCGAACUUUCUAGAAAUAGAUUGGUGCCUUCGGGAACGCAGUGACAGGUGCUGCAUGGCUGUCGUCAGCUCGUGUCGUGAGAUGUUGGGUUAAGUCCCGUAACGAGCGCAACCCCUAUCCUUAUUUGCCAGCACAUCAUGGUGGGAACUAUAAGGAGACUGCCGGUGAUAAACCGGAGGAAGGCGGGGACGACGUCAAGUCAUCAUGGCCCUUACGACCAGGGCUACACACGUGCUACAAUGGGAAGGACAAAGAGCCGCGAAGCCGCGAGGUGUAGCUAAUCUCAUAAACCUUUUCGUAGUCCGGAUUGGAGUCUGCAACUCGACUCCAUGAAGUCGGAAUCGCUAGUAAUCGUAGAUCAGAAUGCUACGGUGAAUACGUUCCCGGGUCUUGUACACACCGCCCGUCAUACCAUGGGAGUGGGUUGCACCAGAAGUGGCUAGUCUAACUUUAUUGAGGACGGUCACCACGGUGUGAUUCAUGACUGGGGUAAAGUCAUAACAAGGU
rnacentral:rRNA from 1 species